CCGGGCUCGGCUUUUCACACCUUUCUCUCCCGAUGAUGCGUGAGGACGUUUUGGGAGAGAGCGGCUCGGCGGGGUCCUCUCCGACCAGGUCCCCCUCGACCUUGCGGGGACCCGGCCGGGCGGCGCGGGUCUGGGAUUGUGCCGGGUUUCAAGGACACGGGAGAUGAUCAGGACUUUGGGAGCCAACAUCUGCCUGGCUGGUGACGUCAGCAACCCCGUGUAAUCCUCUUGUACUGAAGGCAGAUGCCUUAUUUGUUUGGCUGGAGAGGCAUUAAUCCCUAAUUCUGGAGCAGCAAGCGAGGGGGAGAGACCGGACCGCUUCCUAUCCCCCGAAAGCAGCUAGAGGGGCUCUCCUCUCCUGCGCUCCGCGGCUCCGACUGGGUGGAGGAGCCGCCAGCCCUCGGCAGGCGGCCGCACGCAGGAGCUACGGUGCCGAGGGGGGCCGGAGCCGCCUUCCCAGUUUGCCCCCGGAUGCCCCGGCAAGCUACGGGAAAAGUCUCUGAGAAGCCCGGCUCGCCGCAGGAUCCCGGCCGCCGCCGCGUUCAGCCUCAGCACAUCCCCUUCGCCUCCUCUCUCUCUCCCGGGCCCUGGCGCCGAGGAAGCAGUCGAGGUCAGCUGCCCGGUUCCUGGGGUCCGGCCGUGGUCGAGCCCGCAGGGUGAUGCAAGGUGCCCGGCCGCUCCACUCCUCCCCGGCGCGCCGUCGGCGCCGAAAAGGAAUGGUCCCGAUCCUGAGCCGUGAAAGAUGGCAAAAAGCGUAACAAUAAUAAUAAUAAUAAUAAAAGCUCAGGCUAAUUUUAUUUUUUUUUUUAAUUACUGUAAUGACUUCACUCCUCAUUUCCUCACUCGCCAGUUCAGUGUAGGCAAGCCAGAUGGGCUGCCCAGACCCUCCCGGGAAAGGGGCAGGUGCGAGUGAGUUAAAUUUUUUUCUGCUUUACAAAGAAAGAUGACACGUCCUGCCCUUUCAUUUUUCAUCGCCGAAAGAUCCCCUCUUCCCUCCCCAGCCCUCCCCCUGGCCGAGGGGAGCGGGGAUGCUCUGGGGGUGCUGGCUCCCCCCUCCCGUGCUCCAGGGGAGCCGUAGACCCAGGCGGACCGAGACAGCCGGAAAGACGCGGUCAUUCCUCUCAGCCAGGGAUGCCAAAUGACAGACGUCGAGUCGGGGAGAGUCAACUCCUGUGUUCAAAAUCACGCGAAGACGCUGGUGAAAUUAAAGCAGUCGUCUGGAAGUGUGCAAUAAGCACAAGCUUAUUUUAUCUUUUUUUUUCUUCUUCUUCUUUUUUUUUUUUUUUUUUUUUUUUUAAAUCCAUUAAAUACAUAUUUAAAAGCUUCCUGAGCCUUGCAAACAACAGACUAGCUAGUAAGAAAACUCGAGCAUGAGUUAUAUGCAGCCCUGGCCAGAAUGGGACUAGGGCGGAGGGAAAUUACCGGGUUUUUUCGGGGAUCGGUUGCUGUUCUGCUGAGAGAGAGAGAGAGAGAGAGAGUGCUCUAAGGCUCUGACUCUCCGUGUUCACAGCGGACCUUGAUUUAAUGUCAUACAAUUAAGGCACGCGGUGAAUGCCAAGAGCGGAUCCUCAAAGCAGCAUGAAAGAUAUCGCUAGAACAUACCAUAACAAUAAUGUUAAUAAUAAAAAUAAUUGCAAUUAGCUAAAAAAAAAAAAAAAAAAAAAAAAAA